UAUAGAGAAGACAUCGCCCAUCACUGCCGUGUUCCGUUCAACUGCGGCCGGCCGGCCGCACGUCACUCAGUCGCUUACGAGUACUGAAGCGCGGCGGUCGUAAUAUGUUUUAAAACGAAACAGGAUAAAAACUGGUUAAAUAAUUUAAAUAUGCCCUCGUGUGUGAUGCGAUAUUGCACUAACAAUUCAAGCAAUACGUCGAAGUGAAAAGGAGUAACUUUCUAUAGGUUUUGCACGUCUGGGCCUUAAAGACAGGGAGAAAUGGAUGAAACACGAGGCUAAAACUGAUCAGACAAUAAAUUAUUUUUUAAAGCGGCAAAAGAUUUGUAACUUAUAUUAUUUAAGGGUGAUUAAAUAAAAAUCAUAUCUGUACAUAACUA